GCAGUGGUGGUCCAGUGGUAGGAUUCUUGCCUUCUACGAAGAGACUUGGGUUCAAUUCUUGGCCAAAGCA
rnacentral:tRNA from 1 species